UUGGGCAGAGGGUGUGUUCCUCUUUGUCACCCGCCGGGAACCCUCGCGCCGCGCGUGGGCGAGCGGCGGGCACCCGGCGGCAUCCGCGCCAGCGGCCACCUCCCCGGCCCGCAACCGGCCUCAGGGGCCGAGAUUGCGGCCCGAGGUCCGGAAGCGGCGUCCAGCGCUGUCAGCGGGCGGAGUUCCUGUUUUAGUUGGCUUCUCUUCAUUGGAAGAAACAGAUUCACUCAAGUGACUUCAAGAAGAAUAGAGUUUAUUAUGAGGAUGCAGAAUGUCAGGCCUCUGAGCCCAAGCCAAGCCAAGCCAUCGCAUCCCCUGUGACUUGCAUGUACACAUCCAGAUGGCCUGAAGUAACUGAAGACACAAAAGAAGUAAAAAUAGCCUUAACUGAUGACAUUCCACCAUUGUGAUUUGUUUCUGCCCCACCCUAACUGAUCAAUGUACUUUGUAAUCUCCCCCACCCUUAAGAAGGUACUUGGUAAUCAAUCUCCCCCACCCUUAAGAAGGUUCUUUGUAAUUCUCCCCACCCUUGAGAAUGUAUUUUGUGAGAUCCACCCCUGCCUGCAAAACAUUGGUCUUAACUUCACCGCCUAUCCCAAAACCUGUAAGAACUAAUGAUAAUCCACCACCCUUUGCUGACUCUCUUUUCGGACUCAGCCCACCUGCACCCAGGUGAUUAAAAGCUUUUAUUGCUCACACAAAGCCUGUUUGGUGGUCCCUUCACAUGGAUGCGCAUGAAACAGAGAACAUGCAAGAAUGGCAACCAUGCUGUCAAGGGUUCCAACACCUCUCUGGC
rnacentral:lncRNA from 10 species